rnacentral:rRNA from 1 species
UACGUAGGUGGCAAGCGUUGUCCGGAGUUAUUGGGCGUAAAGCGCGCGCAGGCGGCCGACUAAGUCAGACGUGAAAUCCCUUGGCUUAACCAAGGAAUGGCGUCUGAUACUGGACGGCUUGAAUCCGGGAGAGGGAUGUGGAAUUCCAGGUGUAGCGGUGAAAUGCGUAGAUAUCGGAAGGAACACCAGUGGCGAAAGCGGCUUCCUGGUCCGACACCGACGUUCAGGCACGAAAGCGUGGGGAGCAAACAGG